GUGAAAGUUUGAUGAAUACAAAUGAAAAUUCAUUGUGAAUAAUUCUUUAUUGAUAGUUUAUAUCUUUUUUUUUUGUUUACGUGAUGAACAUGAACCCAUCUGUUUUGUCUUAAUAUUUGUGGAACUGAUAAGUGUUGUGAUGUUUUGUUAGGCUGGGUUUGCCUUCCAGCAACCUCUGAUGCCUGGGAUGAGGCCUGGCGGUCCAAUGCCAAACUUUAUGAUGCCGAUGGUUCAGCAAGGACAGCAACCACAACGUCCUGCUGGUAGGCGUGCUGGUGCUGGUGGAAUGCAGCAACCCAUGCCAAUGGGUGGUCAGCAACAGGUAUAUGCUGUAUUGCUCAAAUGCAUUAUUCAGUUUCAUUCGUCUUUUGGAGAAACAGGUGGUAGAGUUCGUCUUUUGGAGGAACUGGCCUGACUUUUCUGUAUUAUGCAGAUGUUCCCUAGAGGUGGGCGUGGCUACCGCUAUCCCACAGGACGUGGAAUGCCUGAUCCUGGCAUGCAUGGUGUUGGGGCUGUGAUGCCAUCUCCAUAUGAGAUGGGUGGGAUGCCAAUUAGAGAUGCUGGUGUGUCACAACCUGUUCCAAUUGGGGCCCUUGCCACUGCUCUUGCUAACGCACCACCGGAUCAGCAGAGGCUGGUAUGAUAUCGAGCCUGCGAUUUGUUGGUUGGACUUUUUUGUUAAUGAAGGGCUGAUGGUGACUUUGUAAUGUUUGUUGUAGAUGCUUGGUGAGAACCUGUAUCCUCUAGUUGACCAGCUGGAGCAUGAGCAGGCUGCCAAGGUGACUGGCAUGCUUUUGGAGAUGGAUCAGACAGAGGUCCUGCACCUGCUGGAGUCCCCAGAUGCUCUCAAGGCCAAGGUUGCUGAAGCCAUGGAGGUCCUCCGCUCUGCCCAGCAUCUUCAGCAGACCAACGCCUCCCCUGAGCAGCAGCUGGCCAAUCUGUCGCUGAAUGACGGCGUCGUCUCCAGUUGAAAGUCUCCGAUGACUGAGUGAUCGAAGACUGCUGGC
rnacentral:lncRNA from 1 species